AGAGUUUGAUCAUGGCUCAGAUUGAACGCUGGCGGCAGGCCUAACACAUGCAAGUCGAGCGGUAGCACAGAGAGCUUGCUCUCGGGUGACGAGCGGCGGACGGGUGAGUAAUGUCUGGGAAGCUGCCUGAUGGAGGGGGAUAACUACUGGAAACGGUAGCUAAUACCGCAUAAUGUCGCAAGACCAAAGUGGGGGACCUUCGGGCCUCAUGCCAUCAGAUGUGCCCAGAUGGGAUUAGCUAGUAGGUGGGGUAACGGCUCACCUAGGCGACGAUCCCUAGCUGGUCUGAGAGGAUGACCAGCCACACUGGAACUGAGACACGGUCCAGACUCCUACGGGAGGCAGCAGUGGGGAAUAUUGCACAAUGGGCGCAAGCCUGAUGCAGCCAUGCCGCGUGUGUGAAGAAGGCCUUCGGGUUGUAAAGCACUUUCAGCGGGGAGGAAGGCGUUAAGGUUAAUAACCUUGGCGAUUGACGUUACCCGCAGAAGAAGCACCGGCUAACUCCGUGCCAGCAGCCGCGGUAAUACGGAGGGUGCAAGCGUUAAUCGGAAUUACUGGGCGUAAAGCGCACGCAGGCGGUCUGUCAAGUCGGAUGUGAAAUCCCCGGGCUCAACCUGGGAACUGCAUUCGAAACUGGCAGGCUAGAGUCUUGUAGAGGGGGGUAGAAUUCCAGGUGUAGCGGUGAAAUGCGUAGAGAUCUGGAGGAAUACCGGUGGCGAAGGCGGCCCCCUGGACAAAGACUGACGCUCAGGUGCGAAAGCGUGGGGAGCAAACAGGAUUAGAUACCCUGGUAGUCCACGCCGUAAACGAUGUCGAUUUGGAGGUUGUGCCCUUGAGGCGUGGCUUCCGGAGCUAACGCGUUAAAUCGACCGCCUGGGGAGUACGGCCGCAAGGUUAAAACUCAAAUGAAUUGACGGGGGCCCGCACAAGCGGUGGAGCAUGUGGUUUAAUUCGAUGCAACGCGAAGAACCUUACCUGGUCUUGACAUCCACAGAACUUUCCAGAGAUGGAUUGGUGCCUUCGGGAACUGUGAGACAGGUGCUGCAUGGCUGUCGUCAGCUCGUGUUGUGAAAUGUUGGGUUAAGUCCCGCAACGAGCGCAACCCUUAUCCUUUGUUGCCAGCGGUNGGCCGGGAACUCAAAGGAGACUGCCAGUGAUAAACUGGAGGAAGGUGGGGAUGACGUCAAGUCAUCAUGGCCCUUACGACCAGGGCUACACACGUGCUACAAUGGCAUAUACAAAGAGAAGCGACCUCGCGAGAGCAAGCGGACCUCAUAAAGUAUGUCGUAGUCCGGAUUGGAGUCUGCAACUCGACUCCAUGAAGUCGGAAUCGCUAGUAAUCGUAGAUCAGAAUGCUACGGUGAAUACGUUCCCGGGCCUUGUACACACCGCCCGUCACACCAUGGGAGUGGGUUGCAAAAGAAGUAGGUAGCUUAACCUUCGGGAGGGCGCUUACCACUUUGUGAUUCAUGACUGGGGUGAAGUCGUAACAAGGUAACCGUAGGGGAACCUGCGGUUGGAUCACCU
rnacentral:rRNA from 1 species